UACGAAGGGGGCUAGCGUUGCUCGGAAUUACUGGGCGUAAAGGGCGCGUAGGCGGCCUUGUCAGUCAGGCGUGAAAUUCCUGGGCUUAACCUGGGGGCUGCGCUUGAUACGGCAGGGCUAGAGGUCAGAAGAGGGUCGUAGAAUUCCCAGUGUAGAGGUGAAAUUCGUAGAUAUUGGGAAGAACACCGGUGGCGAAGGCGGCGACCUGGUCUGAAACUGACGCUGAGGCGCGACAGCGUGGGGAGCAAACAGG
rnacentral:rRNA from 1 species